rnacentral:rRNA from 1 species
ACGCACGCUGGCGGCGUGCUUAACCCCUGCAAGUCGAACGGAAAGGCCCUGCUUUUGUGGGGUGCUCGAGUGGCGAACGGGUGAGUAGCACGUGAGUAACCUGCCCUUGACUUUGGGAUAACUUCAGGAAACUGGGGCUAAUACCGGAUAGGAGCUCCUGCUGCAUGGUGGGGGUUGGAAAGUUUCGGCGGUUGGGGAUGGACUCGCGGCUUAUCAGCUUGUUGGUGGGGUAGUGGCUUACCAAGGCUUUGACGGGUAGCCGGCCUGAGAGGGUGACCGGCCACAUUGGGACUGAGAUACGGCCCAGACUCCUACGGGAGGCAGCAGUGGGGAAUAUUGCACAAUGGGCGGAAGCCUGAUGCAGCAACGCCGCGUGCGGGAUGACGGCCUUCGGGUUGUAAACCGCUUUCGCCUGUGACGAAGCGUGAGUGACGGUAAUGGGUAAAGAAGCACCGGCUAACUACGUG